UACAGAGGGGGCAAGCGUUGUUCGGAAUUACUGGGCGUAAAGGGCGCGUAGGCGGCCUGCUAAGUCGAACGUGAAAUCCCCGGGCUCAACCCGGGAACUGCGUCCGAUACUGGUUGGCUUGAAUCCGGGAGAGGGAUGCGGAAUUCCAGGUGUAGCGGUGAAAUGCGUAGAUAUCUGGAGGAACACCGGUGGCGAAGGCGGCAUCCUGGACCGGCAUUGACGCUGAGGCGCGAAAACCAGGGGAGCAAACGGG
rnacentral:rRNA from 1 species